rnacentral:rRNA from 1 species
CACGUAGGGCGCGAGCGUUGUCCGGAAUUAUUGGGCGUAAAGAGCUCGUAGGCGGCCUGUUGCGUCCGCUGUGAAAGCCCGGGGCUUAACCCCGGGUCGGCAGUGGAUACGGGCAGGCUAGAGGUAGGUAGGGGAGAACGGAAUUCCUGGUGUAGCGGUGAAAUGCGCAGAUAUCAGGAGGAACACCGGUGGCGAAGGCGGGUCUCUGGGCCGAUAUUGACGCUGAGGAGCGAAAGCGUGGGGAGCGAACAGG